CUACUACUGUUCCAAAGAUUCUGAAUUUGCAAUCAAAUAUAGCUUCUGAUUGUUCCAGCAGCAUAAUCAAGAAAGGCACAAAGAAGGAAGAACGACUGAGAAGAAAAAAGAAAGAAAAGAAGGAAGGGGAUGAAGAAGGGAGGGAGAGAAAAUGAUAGAGGCAAAGAAAGAAAAGAAAAAUGAAGAAAGAAGAUAAAUUUGUCAGCUCCCAUCAGGAGGCUGAAUCCCAAAUUCAAGAACUUCAUGGAGACCCAACCUCUGUACCAGUCCAUUAACAUGUUAUUCUUGAUGUAUAAGUGUGCCUAUCAUUAAAUAUAAAAUUAAUAUAAUUCAAUUCACAAAUAUAAAAUAUUCCUUAAGGUGGCCCAAAUCAGGGUGCUCUGAGAUGAAAUAAUCACAC
rnacentral:lncRNA from 1 species